rnacentral:rRNA from 1 species
AGAGUUUGAUCCUGGCUCAGGAUGAACGCUAGCGGCGUGCUUUAAGCAUGCAAGUGGGACGGGUCACCGCAAGGUGACCAGUCGCGAACGGCUGAGUAAUACGUAAGUACUUACCCCAUGGUGUGGAAUACCUUGCCGAAAGGCAAGCUAAUACCGCAUGACCUCCAAUUUAUUGGAGAAAAGGAUUUAACUAUCCGCCGAGGGAGAGGCUUGCGGCCCAUCAGCUAGUUGGUAGGGUAAAAGCCUACCAAGGCUACGACGGGUAGGGGAUGUGAGAGCAUGUUCCCCCAGAAAGGCACUGAGACACGGGCCUUACACCUACGGGUGGCAGCAACUGGGAAUCGUACGCAAUGGACGAAAGUCUGACGUCGCGACGCCGCGUGAGGGAUGAAGGCUAUUUGGUUGUAAACCUCUUUUGCCAUAGUCGAGAGGCUAUGGAGAAUAAGCACCGGCUAACUCCGUGCCAGCAGCAGCGGUAAUACGGAGGGUGCAAGCGUUAUCCGGAUUUAUUGGGCGUAAAGCGUUUCGUAGGCGACGAGAUAAGUCACUUUUCAAAGACCGGGGCUCAACCCCGGGAAGGGGAGCGAUACUACCUCGUUUGAAUCAUUUAGGGGCUAUCGGAACUAUCGGUGUAGGAGUGAAAUCCGUUGAUAUCGAUAGGAACACCAAGGGCGAAGGCAGGUAGCUGGGGAUGUAUUGACGCUGAGGAACGAAAGCUAGGGGAGCGAAAGGGAUUAGAUACCCUGGNAGUC